rnacentral:rRNA from 1 species
UGGGGAAUCUUGCGCAAUGGGCGAAAGCCUGACGCAGCAACGCCGCGUGGAGGAAGAAGGCCUUCGGGUUGUAAACUCCUGUCAGGGGGAAAGAAGGCACCUGGGUUAAUAGCCCAAGGGCUGACGGUACCCCCAGAGGAAGCCACGGCUAACUACGUGCCAGCAGCCGCGGUAAUACGUAGGUGGCGAGCGUUGUCCGGAAUUAUUGGGCGUAAAGAGCGCGUAGGCGGCUUGUCAGGUCCGACGUGAAAUCCCGGGGCUCAACCCCGGACGUGCAUCGGAAACCGGCUUGCUAGAGUCUGGGAGUGGGAAGUGGAAUUCCUGGUGUAGCGGUGAAAUGCGCAGAUAUCAGGAGGAACACCGGUAGCGAAGGCUGCUUCCUGGAACAGUACUGACGCUGAGGCGCGAAAGCUAGGGGAGCAAACAG